AACUUAAUAGUUUAAAAAAAAACAUUUAGCUGCAAGCUAAAAAAUGGUCUUUCUUAAGUUA
rnacentral:tRNA from 1 species